GAGGGUAUAGCUCAUGUGGUAGAGUGUUUGCUUAACAUGCACUGGGUCCUGGGUUCAAUCCCCAGUACCUCCU
rnacentral:tRNA from 1 species